rnacentral:rRNA from 1 species
UACGUAGGGGGCAAGCGUUGUCCGGAUUUAUUGGGCGUAAAGAGCGUGUAGGCGGCCACACAGGUCUGCUGUGAAAACUCGAGGCUCAACCUCGAGCUGUCGGUGGAAACCGUGUGGCUAGAGUCCGGAAGAGGAGAGUGGAAUUCCCGGUGUAGCGGUGAAAUGCGCAGAUAUCGGGAAGAACACCCGUGGCGAAGGCGGCUCUCUGGGACGGUACUGACGCUGAGGUGCGAAAGCGUGGGGAGCAAACAGG